AUGACUGGACAGCAGUGGACUCUUUCUCAAAGUCUGACCCUGCCACCUAUAUUUGAUGAAGCAACCAUCACUGAAGCCAUUUUUUUUGUAGCCAGCUCAACUCCAUUUAACAGGUUAGUAGCGAAAGGUAAGGCUUCAUUCCCGAGUGGACGAGAAGAGGGAGCAAGCCCUAUUAAGGUUAAGGGAAGAGGCUAUUUUACUAGACUAGCUACCGAGCUGACUCAAGGAAGCCGGAAAGAAAGGGCCUCAAGACAGCUUCGGCAACAUAAAGUCGAGCUGAGGAAUACGGAAGAGAAGCGGAUUCAACUCAAUCUUAGCCUAAGAGCUGUUCAGAGAAGAGAAUCAAAGGUCAACGGCCAAUGGAGGAUUUCCCUCCCCCGGAUUCAUCUUAAACCGACCGAUAUGCCGAGAUGA
rnacentral:lncRNA from 1 species